rnacentral:rRNA from 1 species
CACGGAGUUAGCCGGUGCUUCUUCUGCGAGUAACGUCACAGCUGUUGGGUAUUAGCCAACAACCUUUCCUCCUCGCUGAAAGUGCUUUACAACCCGAAGGCCUUCUUCACACACGCGGCAUGGCUGCAUCAGGGUUUCCCCCAUUGUGCAAUAUUCCCCACUGCUGCCUCCCGUAGGAGUCUGGACCGUGUCUCAGUUCCAGUGUGGCUGAUCAUCCUCUCAGACCAGCUAGGGAUCGUCGCCUUGGUGAGCCAUUACCUCACCAACUAGCUAAUCCCACCUGGGCAUAUCCAAUCGCGCAAGGCCCGAAGGUCCCCUGCUUUCCCCGUAGGGCGUAUGCGGUAUUAGCAGUCGUUUCCAACUGUUAUCCCCUCGACUGGGCAAUUUCCCAGGCAUUACUCACCCGUCCGCCGCUCGCCGGCAAAAGUAGCAAGCUACUUUCCCGCUGCCGCUCGACUUGCAUGUGUUAGCCUGCCGCAGCGUUCAU